rnacentral:lncRNA from 1 species
AAUUUUCAAGCAAUUACCAAGAUUCUUCAAAGGACAAUCAAGUUUACUUCAUUUGGUAUUCAAGUGUGCAUCAUUAGGCCUUUUGAUGCAAGAAAACAUAAGUUGGCACAUGUUUGGUUGACCUAAAAUCAAGUAUGGCAUGUCACUUGGUCCAAACACCAUAACUCUCUCAUUUCUCAACAUUUUUGGAAUCUACUUUGAGAAAAAUGUCACAUUUUAACUCCUC